rnacentral:rRNA from 1 species
UACGAGGGGUGCAAGCGUUAAUCGGAAUCACUGGGCUUAAAGGGUCCGCAGGCGGAUCGGCAAGUAUCUUGUGAAAUACCACGGCUCAACCGUGGAAUUGCUGGAUAAACUGCCGAUCUUGAACACGACAGGGGCUACCAGAACUCUAGGUGGAGCGGUGAAAUGCGUAGAUAUCUAGAGGAAUGCCAGAGGCGAAGGCGGGUAGCUGGGUCGUUGUUGACGCUCAGGGACGAAAGCGUGGGUAGCGAAC